rnacentral:rRNA from 1 species
UACGUAGGGUCCGAGCGUUGUCCGGAAUUAUUGGGCGUAAAGGGCUCGUAGGCGGUUUGUCGCGUCGGGAGUGAAAACACGGGGCUUAACCCCGUGCCUGCUUCCGAUACGGGCAGACUAGAGGUAUGCAGGGGAGAACGGAAUUCCUGGUGUAGCGGUGAAAUGCGCAGAUAUCAGGAGGAACACCGGUGGCGAAGGCGGUUCUCUGGGCAGUAACUGAGGCUGAGGAGCGAAAGCGUGGGGAGCGAACAGG